rnacentral:lncRNA from 1 species
GGGCCUUUUGUUCAGCCCUGACAAUAGAAUUGGGUGGAGGGGGCUGGGAAGGCAAGUAGCUGGGUUAGAGAUGCAUCCGUGGGGUGGGGGUAUGGGGAAGCUUGUGUUCAGCCACUGGGUACAUGAAAGCAACUGUGUGUGUGUGUGUGUGUGUGUGUGUGUGUGUGUGUGUGUGUGUGUGUGUGUCGGGGGAGGGUAUAAGGGAGCCCAGGGACACUGGGGCACCAGCUCGUUAACACGUGUGUAUGAAUGCCGGCUGUGCGCUUGGCAAAUCCUUAAUUACACAGGGAGAACUUCCUGAACCGGGAACUCAGUAUCGGUCCCUGAAAGGUUGGGUAAUGGCUUCUUCUUGCAUCUGGAAUCCAAGGGGACCAAUCUCUCUGGCUCCCCUGGGCUCUCAGAUUCUUCUAGAUGUCUUUGUCUUCUAAAAUUCUGGGAUCCCAAGGGAAGACACAUAGUUAAGGACACUCAGAAAUGCAUACCUUUCAACCCUACUAAUCAUCCUAAAACCUGUGCUUUCAACAUAUCACGUCCUUGAUCUGUAACCCUCAGGGGCACCCACGAUCUCCAAUGACUGGGAGUGAUGGCAUUUAAGUCUUUCCACCAUGCAGAAGUUUCUUCCCUCAUUCCCCAUGAAUUCUCUCCUGUAGCCAGCCUGGCCCCUCAUAACCCCUUGGAUAUACUGUAUCUUGAAUUCUCCAGCCUUUCUGCAGUUGCCUUCCUGGGACAUUCAUUCCCAUGUUCACAAUCUAGCCAAUUGUAUCCCUUCUCUAUUCAGUUCUAGCAUCAGUCAGUCAAUCAACAAGCAUUUAUUGAAAGUCCACUAUGUACAAGACAUGUUCUAGGCCCUGGUAAUACAUCAGAGACUGAGACAAAUACCUGUUCUUAAGGAUUUUAUAUUUUAAUGGGAGAAACAGAGUAGACUCAUGGCUCACGCCUAUAAUCCCAGGACUUUGGGAGGCCAAGGCAAGAGGAUCACUUGAGGCCAGGAGCUCAAAACCAGCCUGGGCAGCAAGUGUCUUCUUUUGCCUCUGCAAAAGAAAAUUAAAAAUAACAAAAAAAGGAAGCUAAACUAGAGUAUUGUGGUAGAGGGGUGUGUGUGUGUGCAUGUGGGUGCAUCCGUGUGUGUGGUAGGUUGAUGGGUGCUGUUUUAUUUAGCCAGGGAAGGUCUCUUUGAGGAGGUGGCAUUCGAGACCUUCUGGGUGGGAAGGAGGCAGCCAUGUGGUGAUCUGGGGAAGAGUGCUGCAAGCAGAAAGGCAAGUAAAAACAAAAGCCCUGAGGCAGAAAUGUGCUCCUUAUGCUUAAGAAACACCGUGAAGGCCAACGUGGUUGGAGCAAUGUGAGCAAGAAGAAUAGAGGGGCCUUGGGAACAUAGGUAGCUGAGUCCUCAUGGAUCAAGGGAGAGGAACAAUUAUUACUUGCUGAGAGGAGCUAAGCUGAUCUGCAUGAUGAAGGAAUGGAAUGGGCUAAGGAAGACGUCCAGACAGGGAAAAGCCUUAUGGAAGGGAAUUCAACAGAGUUUUCAGAGAUUAGCACAUUUGAGGCUCUCUAAAUAAUCAGAUGUGGAGGAAGGGGCUUCUGAGAUGAGCUAACACGACUAUGACCCAGAGUCUUUUAAUGUUCUUCCAAAUACGUGAUCAAAUAAUGGAAUUUAUUCUGUAUUAAUUUUGAGCACUAAACUGUGCAUUAAGUCUAUAGAGGGAUUGGACCCUAUGGUCUCCCCUCUGAUUUACAAGAAUUAUGUUUUUAAAAGAUGGGGUCAUACUAUAUUUACUUUUACUUAUAAAACAUUUUAAAAUUUUAAUUUUAAAUUAAUUAAUUUAUUUUUGACACAGAGUCUCGCUCUGUUGCCCAGGCUGGAGUACAGUGGCUCGAUCUGAGCUCACUGCAACCUCCGCCUCCUGGGUUCAAGUGAUUCUCCUGCCUCAGCCUCCCAAGUAGCUGGGACUACAGGCCCAUGCCACCAUGCCCAGCUAAUUUUUCUAUUUUUAGUAGAGACAGGGUUUCACCAUGUUGGUCAAGCUGGUCUCGAACUCCUGACCUCAUGUGAUCCACCCACUUUGGCCUCCCAAAGUGCUGGGAUUACAGGCGUGAGCCACCCCCCGGCCUUUCAAAAAAAUUUUUAAUUCACCACUAUACUAAUGAGGAUAUAUUUGGUACUUACAUGAUCUUUUUUUUUAAAAAAAAAAACAAUUAAAUCUUAUGGUCAAUAAAUGCAGAAAUGAAUUAUCCUUUGAAACAGCUGCAUGGUUGGCCUUCAUUUGUCUUCAUCAUAAUUUAUUUAACCCCCACUUACCGAUUUUUGUCAUUGUUGUUGUUUGUUUGUUUUAAAUAGAGUCUCACUCUGUUUCCUAGGCUAGAGUGGAGUGGUGUAGCCUCAAACCCCUGGACUCAAACAGUCCUCCCACCUCAGCCUCCUAAAUAGCUGUGACUACAGAUGCACACCACCAUAUCUUGCUUUUUUUUUUUUUUUUUUUUUUUUUUUUUGGAGAUGGAGUCUCGCUGUGUCACCCAGGCUGGAGUGCAAUGGCGUGAUCUCAGCUUACUGCAACCUCCAUCUUUCAGGUUCAAGAAAUUCUCCCGCCUCAGCCUCCAGAAUAGCUGGGAUUACAGGUGCAUGCCACCAUGUCCAGCUAAUUUUUGUAUUUUUAGUAGAGAGUGUUUCACCAUGUUGGCCAGGCUGGUCUCGAACUCCUGACCUCAGGUGAUCCAUCUGCCUCGGCCUCGCAAAGUGCUGGGAUUACAGGCAUGAGCCACCAUGGCCGGCCACAUCUGGCUUUUUAAAAAAUUUUGUGGAGAUGGUGUUUCACUAUGUUGUCCAGUCUGGCCGCAAACUCCUAGCUCAAACAAUCCUCCCAUUUCAGCCUUCCAAAGUUUUGGGAUUAUAGGUGUGAGCCACUGCACCUGGCCAACCCCUCCCCUGUUGAUGCCCACUUAUGUUGUUUCGAAGUUAAUAAAUGGUUACCUAAGGUCAUCCUUAUGUUCGUACAUCUUUGCAUCUUGCUGAAUUUUUCUUUAGAACAUAUUCCUAAAAGCAUCCAUGCAGAGUUAAAGGAUAAUAAGAACAUCAGAAUUCAGUGCAGUGCCAAGUUGCUCUCUGGAAAGCAAAAUUAACACAAUGACCUCCAGGGUUGGGUUUCUGCUCCUGAGUGUAGUUGUGCUGCCCAGGGAGGUCCAAGUAGGCAGAGAUGCUUAG